rnacentral:rRNA from 1 species
GACGAACGCUGGCGGCGUGCCUAAUACAUGCAAGUCGAACGCAGUGGGGACGGGUGAGUAACACGUGGGUAACCUCCCAUCAGAGGGGAUAACACUUGGAAACAGGUGCUAAACCGAUACUGAUGGAUGGACCCGCGGUUCAUUAGCUAGUUGGGGAGGGAACGGCUCACCAAGGCAACGAUACAUCGCCGACCGGGAAGGGUGUGCGGCAACACUGGGACGGAGACACGGCCCAGACUCCUACGGGAGGCAGCAGUAGGGAAUCUUCGGCAAUGGACGAAAGUCUGACCGAGCAACGCCGCGUGAGUGAAGAAGGUUUUCGGAUCGUAAAACUCUGUUGUUAGAGAAGCGGUAUCUAACCAGAAAGCCACGGCUAACUACGUGCCAGCCGCCGCGGUAAUUC